UCCGAGUUGACCCCGGCAGUCUCCUAUGAGUCCCCACCAUCACGUGCUGGCAACAUAGAUCAAGGGUUGCGCUCGUUGCGGGACUUAACCCAACAUCUCACGACACGAGCUGACGACAACCAUGCACCACCUGUCACCGCUGUCCCCGAAGGGAAAGGCGUAUCUCUACACCGGGCAGCGGGAUGUCAAGACCUGGUAAGGUUCUUCGCGUUGCUUCGAAUUAAACCACAUGCUCCGCCGCUUGUGCGGGCCCCCGUCAAUUCCUUUGAGUUUUAGUCUUGCGACCGUACUCCCCAGGCGGGGUGCUUAAUGCGUUAGCUGCGGCACGGAGCGGGUUGAAGACCGCCCCACACCUAGCACCCAACGUUUACGGCUGGGACUAC
rnacentral:misc_RNA from 1 species